GGGUGAUAGCAUGGUGGUUUGAGUGUUGGACUAAGAACCUGAAGAUCAGGGUUCAAAUCCCAGCUUGGCCA